rnacentral:rRNA from 1 species
UACGUAGGUGGCAAGCGUUGUCCGGAAUUAUUGGGCGUAAAGCGCGCGCAGGCGGUCCUUUAAGUCUGAUGUGAAAGCCCACGGCUCAACCGUGGAGGGUCAUUGGAAACUGGGGGACUUGAGUACAGAAGAGGAGGGUGGAAUUCCUGGUGUAGCGGUGAAAUGCGUAGAUAUCAGGAGGAACACCGGUGGCGAAGGCGGCCCUCUGGACGGUGACUGACGCUGAGACGCGAAAGCGUGGGGAGCAAACAGG